UUGCGAGAUGCAGAUUAUACAACAAACCGCAACAAUGCACUGGAUCCAUCAUCCAUCUAUCAGAAGAUCCUCGAGACUCGUGAAAUGAGGAAUAUAUGUUAAAAUGGCCAGUGCAAUAUAAGCAGCGGUCAUCCAGAUAUAUGAAUAGGUUUCUAGAAAUGCACUGGGAAUGCUCCACAACAGGUUCCGGUAAAACAAUCAUUUUCUGGAAUAAAUCACCUGGUAUUGACGAAUGCUCGGAAGUACCGUUUGAAGAAUGUUUUUGCUAGCUGGAUAGUUAUUCAAUAAAUAAAACUUCUAUUCAAUGCUGA